rnacentral:rRNA from 1 species
GACGAACGCUGGCGGCGUGCUUAACACAUGCAAGUCGAACGGUGAAGCGCCUUCCUUUUUGGUGGGUGUGGAUGAGUUGCGAACUGGUGAGUAACACGUGAGUAACCUGCCCCCUGCUUCUGGAUAACCGCAUGAAAGUGUGGCUAAUACGGGAUAUUCUGGGUCUGUCGCAUGAUGGGUCUGGGAAAGAUUUUGUUUCGGUGGGGGUGGGCUCGCGGUCUAUCGGCUUGUUGGUGGGGUGCUGGCCUACCAAGGCGGUGACGGGUAGCCGGCCUGCGAGGGUGGGCGGUCCCACUGGGCCUGCGCCACGGCCCAGCCUCCUCCGGGAGGCAGCGGUGGGGAAUCUUGCACACUGGGCGCAAGCCUGCUGCAGCGCCGCCGCGUGGGGGAUGGAGGCCUUCGGGUUGUGAACCUCUUUCGCCAGUGAAGCAGGCCUGCCUUGUUUGUGGGUGGGUUGACGGUAGCUGGAGAAGAAGCGCCGGCUAACUACGUG